GAAGGGGACUAGCGUUGUUCGGAAUUACUGGGCGUAAAGCGCACGUAGGCGGAUUUGUAAGUCAGGGGUGAAAUCCCGGGGCUCAACCUCGGAACUGCCUUUGAUACUGCAAAUCUCGAGUCCGAUAGGGGUGGGUGGAAUUCCUAGUGUAGAGGUGAAAUUCGUAGAUAUUAGGAAGAACACCGGUGGCGAAGGCGGCCCACUGGAUCGGUACUGACGCUGAGGUGCGAAAGCGUGGGGAGCAAACAGGAUUAGAUGCCCUGGUAGUCCACGCCGUAAACGAUGGAUGCUAGCCGUCGGCAAGCUUGCUUGUCGGUGGCGCAGCUAACGCAUUAAGCAUCCCGCCUGGGGAGUACGGCCGCAAGGUUA
rnacentral:rRNA from 1 species